rnacentral:rRNA from 4 species
UAAAAACGACUCUCGGCAACGGAUAUCUCGGCUCUCGCAUCGAUGAAGAACGUAGCGAAAUGCGAUACUUGGUGUGAAUUGCAGAAUCCCGUGAACCAUCGAGUCUUUGAACGCAAGUUGCGCCCGAAGCCAUCCGGCCGAGGGCACGCCUGCCUGGGCGUCACACACC